rnacentral:rRNA from 1 species
AUACGGAGGAUGCGAGCGUUAUCCGGAUUUAUUGGGUUUAAAGGGAGCGUAGGUGGGAUAUUAAGUCAGCUGUGAAAGUUUGGGGCUCAACCUUAACAUUGCAGUUGCUACUGGUUUUCUUGAGUCCGGUACAGGUGGGCGGAAUUCGAGGUGUAGCGGUGAAAUGCUUAGAUAUCACGAAGAACUCCGAUCGCGAAGGCAGCUCACCGGGCCGGAACUGACACUGAUGCUCGAAAGUGCGGGUAUCAAACAGGAUUAGAUACCCUGGUAGUCCGCACAGUAAACGAUGAAUACUCGCUGUUUGCGAUACACUGUAAGCGGCCAAGCGAAAGCGUUAAGUAUUCCACCUGGGGAGUACGCCGGCAACGGUGAAACUCAAAUGAAUUGACGGGG